AGGGUCCUGGUAUAAAGACAUGACUGGAAUGUGUCAGUGUGAGUACAGGCAGGUGAUACGGGAUGGAGGCAAGGAGGCUUUCUACAAAAUGCAACAGAAUCUCAAUCAAAAUUCCAGCAGACAUUGUAGAAAUUGACAAGCUGAUUCUAAACAUCUUCUGAAAACAACAGAGGACCUAGAAGUGCCAACACAAUUUUUAAAGAACAACGUUGGAGGAAUUACCUUCUUUACCUGAUCUCAAGACUUAUAAUAAAGCUAAGGAAAUCGUA